UACGUAGGGGGCCAGCGUUGCUCGGAAUUACUGGGCGUAAAGGGUUCGUAGGCGGUGCGGUAAGUUGGGAGUGAAAUCUCUGGGCUUAACCCAGAGGCUGCUUUCAAAACUGCCGCGCUCGAGUGCGAGAGAGGUCAGUGGAAUUGCAGGUGUAGCGGUGAAAUGCAUAGAUAUGUCACAGAACACCGAUUGCGAAGGCAGCUUACUAAAGUGUGAUUGACGCUGAGGCACGAAAGCGUGGGGAUCAAACAGG
rnacentral:rRNA from 1 species